GAGGAACGCUGGCGGCGCGCCUAACACAUGCAAGUCGAACGGAGCUGAGAGAAGCUUGCUUUUCUUAGGUUAGUGGCGAACGGGUGAGUAACGCGUGAGUAACCUGCCUUGGAGUGGGGGACAACAGUUGGAAACGACUGCUAAUACCGCAUAAGCUCACGAUCCGGCAGCGGCUUGAGGGAAAAGGAUUUAUUCGCGUCAGGAUGGACUCUCGUCCGAUUGGCUAGUUGGUGAGUGAACGGCCCACCAACGCGACGAUGGGUAGCCGGACAGUGAGGUUGGGCCCCCACAUCGGGGCUGAGCAGCGGCCGGGACUCCUACGCGAGGCGGGAAUGGCGGAUACAGCACAACCGGGGAAGCGCUGAAGGAGCGCGGACGGGAAGACGAAGAAAGUUUGCGGAAAGAAAACUCCUGUCAUUAGGGACGAUAAUGACGGUACCUAACCAGAAAGCACCGGCUAACUACGUG
rnacentral:rRNA from 1 species